CGGUAUCCCACAGCAUUAAUCUUACAUCCUCGCCGUCGACCCUGUAUAUGAAUGCAAAAAGUGAUUGAUAUGAUGGAUAUUAAAAGAUGGAUCGCACACACAUAUUCAACGAAACAAAAAUUUCCUUCUACAUUGACCGACAUUACAUCGUUGAAUAUUCGGAGGGGGAUGCGAGAAGUAUCCCACGGUAGCUCGCGCUGGCAUGAUUAAAAUCGGGUUUUUCUCAGGCGCGUCGCGUCUCGAAAUCGUAUACAUAAUCUUUGAAUCAUCGACGACUUCCCCACGGCGCCGUUGCCCACUAUCACCACCUAAAUGAGAAAAAU